rnacentral:other from 1 species
UGUUCCCUGCGGUGUUGGUGAAGACCCUAUAUCUUUGAACCAAUGUCUUGUUGGCAUCGGCUGCGAACCGUCCUUGAUGUUGUGGGCGCUUUCCCUGGAAGGCGCGCCUGAUUCAAGGGGUGAGCAACCACUCUGAACCCUCGGUUCAGGAUGCCGGUCUUGACGGCACUCGCGGGGAGCCA